UUUAACAUGCGAUCGCGCGUCAACAUCGGACGCUAUGGCACACUCGUGCCUUAUGUGCCACCGAAGCCCCGAAGUGAUCUGGCAUAUACCUUCACAUGUUUCCCUUCAGUAGGAAAUUGCUGGACAGGCGGACCAGCGCACCGGAAUUGUACUGGCGAAGCCACAAGCAACUCAUAGAAUCUGUUUAAUUCUUGCACUUUGAACAAUCAUGCUUCUACAAAGGCCACAGCAAAAAAACAGCCUGAUGCCGAGUAUUUCUGUGCCGCGAACUAAUCAAGAGGCGAGUGCCUAAUGCGGACGAAAUCGAGUGCAUCGAGACUUAGAACGACAGAAAGCUGAGCUAGUUGGUAAGGAUUCAUUAUGCAAAACAGAGGUGAGGCGUGCAGACAGGACGCAAGAGUAGAGAAGUGGGCGGCGUUCGUGUUGUUUGCUUGUAAAUACUCUACUCUUGUGUCCUGUCUGCACGCCUCACCUCCGUUUUGCAUAACGAGUGCGUCAACCCACAUAUUAUUAGCGUAGGCGUUUUAUUAAGUGUGCAAUAUUUUCAACACUUCCUUGCAUGCCAUUUCAUGUGGAAUAUCUUUUCUGGUCACAAAUUUGUGCAGCGAAUCAAUUUGCAUGAUCGACUCCGGGCCUGUGGGACUGUUCACUUGCACUUGAUGCUGAGUGUUUUACAUGUAUCUAUAAACUGCAGAUAUGCACAUCAGAUCCCUGCGAGCAUUUUCAAAAUUCAAUUAUUUUAGGCAACACCCACAUAUGCAAUACUGACAUAAUCUGAAAUACCACUAAGCAGCUGGGACACAUUUUCGCUGACCAUACUCGCAGGUAAAAUAAGUAGAUCAUGUGGACAGCUUCAGCUCGUUUUCCUUAAAUCAGUGUGUACAAGGGGGUACGCAAAAAUAAUUUUUUUUCUCGCGCACCGAUAAUUUUGCUGUAUAAGCAAGAGAACCCACCACGUUAAUGUAACGUAUCUUGUACAUCACACUAAUAUAUGCUUUAAUUUACCAAGUGAGAUGAGUUACUUUUAUGGCUCAUUCAGUCAUAUCACACUGCAAGCUGCAUUCAUCAAUCUUCAAUUAGAUUUCGCAAAUGUUUAUGAAACAUGUUUUCCUUUCAUGCAGAUAUGCAAUGGCAAGCCCUUCCGUGUGUUCCAAAGACAAUGCCUACGCCUAGCCACAGCAGCUCCCUCAUACAGACUCCGCGAGCCAAGGGGCCGUGGAGGCAAAUGCAGGUAAGAGGCAAGAAGCAAUAGC
rnacentral:lncRNA from 1 species